GUUGGCGGGUGCCAAUUUCUUCAGUUUGUGGUAACCCGGCACACACGGAGAUGGUUCGGGUUGAAAGUGAUUAACAAAUCGUA